GAUGAACGCUGGCGGCGUGCCUAAUACAUGCAAGUCGAGCGAACAGACGAGGAGCUUGCUCCUCUGACGUUAGCGGCGGACGGGUGAGUAACACGUGGAUAACCUACCUAUAAGACUGGGAUAACUUCGGGAAACCGGAGCUAAUACCGGAUAAUAUAUUGAACCGCAUGGUUCAAUAGUGAAAGACGGUUUUGCUUUCACUUAUAGAUGGAUCCGCGCCGCAUUAGCUAGUUGGUAAGGUAACGGCUUACCAAGGCAACGAUGCGUAGCCGACCUGAGAGGGUGAUCGGCCACACGGGAACUGAGACACGGUCCAGACUCCUACGGGAGGCAGCAGUAGGGAAUCUUCCGCAAUGGGCGAAAGCCUGACGGAGCAACGCCGCGUGAGUGAUGAAGGUCUUCGGAUCGUAAAACUCUGUUAUUAGGGAAGAACAAAUGUGUAAGUAACUAUGCACGUCUUGACGGUACCUAAUCAGAAAGCCACGGCUAACUACGUG
rnacentral:rRNA from 1 species